CUUUCUAAAAAUCUAAUUUUUUUUGGUUAUUUGGAAAAUAAGCACGUAGAUUUAGGAAUGAACAAAAAAAACGAACCAAAUCAAAACGAACCAAAUCAAACCAAACCGAUCCAAAUCAAACCAAAUCUGUGUCUAAACCAUUUGGUUAAAAAUUUAUCAAUCCAAAUGGUUCAGUUUUAACCGAACCGCUGAAUUUUUCAAAACUAGAUUAACUAAAUACACUAAUAAUAUUAAAAUUUAAGAUAUUUAACAUUUAACCUAAACACCUAAAUAUAAUUUCAUACAUUAUAGUUCUAUAUGAAUAGUAGAAACACAGCUAAGAUAACAAUAAAAGAGUAUGAAUCUCAUACAUCACUAUCAAAACAGAAAAAAUACGUAUAAUAAUUAUAUUAGGUUUGAAGAUAAAAAUAUAAAAUUAUUAGAUUACAUCUUCCAUAUUUUUAUUGUGAUGCUUGGCUUUAUGUUAAAAUAUGAAAAAAUAUUGAUUUGGUGUCAGGUGAUGCUUUAUUCUAUAUUCUUAUAAAUUAUAUUUUUAUAACCGAAUUAGAACAAAACUAAAAAAAAAACAACUCGAUUGAAUUGAACAGAAACAACAAAAACCAUAUUAAACCGACCCAAACACAAACCAAACAGAACUAAAAUCAAACAAAACACUACAAGAAAAAGAUCUCUUACCCAACAACGACAAUCCUCGCAGAACCGUCGGAACUGAUGAUAUCCGGUGACUUUCCGAGAACCUGCAAACUGUUAGCGUUUUGUUCUCGCUAAACUUAUGAUCAUAAGUUUCUGAAAUAUUUCUCGGGAACUUAUCGGCUAACUCCGAGGAGUUUCAUUUCGACAAUCAGAUUUGUUAGAACGACGUCAGUAACUUCCGACAUAAUUGGUUGUCGGUAACAGUUCUCGUCGAGAAACCAUAUGAACAUAACGAGAUAUUCUGAGGAGGCGAUUACAUAUAAAAGAAUCAUGGGAAAAUAUAUUCAUCAAUAAUUACCAUAUAUAUCGUAUUAAUUGUUAUCUAAAUUACUUUACAUAUAUUAAAACGGCUGUUUAUAAAUACAAAAUAUAUUGUUUCCUUAUUUUUUGGAUAUUUUAUUGAUUUGUUUAACAACAAUAGAUAUUUAUUGAUAAAGCUAAUAAAAACCAUUUGGAUAUUUAGCCCAAAAAUUAAAAGGUCACUAAUCAUUACAAUUUUUAUAAUAUUAUUUGAGAAGUCAAUUAAGUUUAAUUUAUUUCAGACAUCUUCUUUCUUAAUAGAAAGGAAACUAUGUGAUUGUACCUUUUGAUAGUUAUACAAUUUUUUAUUUCUACAAAAAUAUUCGCAUAAUUUUAUGAAAUUUUUUACAAUAUAAGCAUUAAUCCUAAUACUAUUUAAAUGCUUCAAACAUCAUAAAUAAACAACUGAUUCUCAUAAAUCUAAACUAGUAUAAACUAUGAACAUAAAUCAUAAAUAAACAACUGAUAAGUAUCAGUCAAUCAUUCAUCAUGCACAAAAAAAUAUUUUUGUUCAUAAAAAUUAUGUAUUUUCUUUGUAGGAAAAAAAUUUGCAUGACUUCCAGCCAAAAAAUUGUUCUUUUUUAGAUAGAUGCAAGAUCAAAAUAAACAUUAUGAGAUUUUUGGAAAAAAUAUUAAAGAAUUUGUUUCUAUUGAGAUGAUCUAGUUUUGACUGAUGAUGAGAUAAUUUUUAAAACUCAUAUCUUCAACUUCUAAUAAUCCUACAAUUAUAAAAGUCAAAAUUCAACAACCAAAGGUAAUGAAUUGUUAAAAAGUUCGAGAAAAAUUGGUAAAAGUUAAUCCAAAGUAAUUAACACAUUUAAGAUCAAUUUCUAUACUAAAUAACUAUUAUGGCCAAGUUGAAUAUAUUGCACAAAAAAACAUCAUAUAUUCCGACUAUUUAAAUUGAUGUUUUCUUGUAGUGAAA